UACGUAGGGGGCAAGCGUUGUCCGGAUUUAUUGGGCGUAAAGAGCUCGUAGGUGGUUCGGUAAGUCGGAUGUGAAAUCUCCAGGCUCAACCUGGAGGGGUCAUUCGAUACUGCCGUGACUAGAGUUCGGUAGGGGAGUGUGGAAUUCCUGGUGUAGCGGUGAAAUGCGCAGAUAUCAGGGAGAACACCAAUGGCGAAGGCAGCUCUCUGGGACGGUACUGACGCUGAGACGCGAAAGCGUGGGGAGCGAACAGG
rnacentral:rRNA from 1 species